AGCGAACGCUGGCGGCAGGCCUAACACAUGCAAGUCGAACGAACCUUUCGGGGUUAGUGGCGGACGGGUGAGUAACACGUGGGAACGUGCCUUUAGGUUCGGAAUAACUCAGGGAAACUUGUGCUAAUACCGAAUGUGCCCUUCGGGGGAAAGAUUUAUCGCCUUUAGAGCGGCCCGCGUCUGAUUAGCUAGUUGGUUGAGGUAAGGGCUCACCAAGGCGACGAUCAGUAGCUGGUCUGAGAGGAUGAUCAGCCACAUUGGGACUGAGACACGGCCCAAACUCCUACGGGAGGCAGCAGUGGGGAAUCUUGCGCAAUGGGCGAAAGACUGACGCAGCCAUGCCGCGUGAAUGAUGAAGGUCUUAGGAUUGUAAAAUUCUUUCACCGGGGACGAUAAUGACGGUACCCGGCGAAGAAGCCCCGGCUAACUUCGUG
rnacentral:rRNA from 1 species